AUGCUCCUAGAUCAUACUUUCCAAGCGGUCAGCAAGGGAUAUACACAUGGAAUACUUAAGCAUUUACAUGUUGACAUGCUUCAGUGGAUGAAUAUUGUGAUAAAUGAAACAGCUUUCAGUCACAUUUCCUCCACCGUUACUUUUUCCAUAACAUCAAAUUAUGUCAUCAUGGACAAACAAAGUAAACGAGCAGCUGAGAGAAAGCUGACCCAAAGCUCCACGGUCUCCAAAGACUUUCAUAUUAAUUCUUGACCAACAUACUGUUGAGGAAAAGACACUAUGAAGAAGUAUUUUCAUCUAUUCCUCCAAGUCUGCGUCAAAUUGAAACUAUUAAAAG
rnacentral:lncRNA from 1 species